GGGCUUUGUGAACACCCCAAUCUGGACUGAUUUCUCAAACCACACUGCCUCAUCUCACAAGAUCAGUGUGUUUUAGUGAUGAAAGACACAUUCUGGUAAAUGUGAUGGACUAAUUCACAGCUGACAUCUAGGACCUGUGAUCUGUACCAACAGAAAAGUGCUUGUUUUAUUAGUGUGUCCUUGUUUUUGCUUGUCAAGCAUUAGACUACAGUCUAAAACCAUUUUAACUUUGCUGUUUUAUUCAUGUGUCUUCGUUCCUUGUUUCCCCACUUCUAAGUGCAGCUGGUCUCAUAAAGACUUACAAGGACAUAGGUUUUAUGUAUCGAGUGUUGGUGAUCACUUGGUAUGGUGUUCCUUUUAUAUCAGUGCUAUUAUCUCCUACAUACAUGUACAUGUAGGUCUCUCGUGAUCAGGUCUGAUAUCUUUCAAUCACACACAAAAAAACUAUUGGCGAUUAUUUCUUUCUCAGCGGCAAGUAGCAACAAAUUCUUCAAAGUUGUACACCUUCUUAUAUGAGCAAGGUUAAGUUAUUUUUAGACAUAUUCAAUUACGCAGCCCAGUCAGUGGCCAUUUUAAGAGCACUAAUUAAAGAUAAUUUGCGUAGUGUGUAUGCUUAUUAGGGAGUAUGAGGACUACGUGUGUGCUAUCGGAGCUGGUCUGGUUGUACAAUGUACCAGUGCUGUGUGCCUGUAGCUGUAUGGUGAGAUCAAGUCUGUGAUAAUGUUCAGCCAAGGUUUAUGUGUUCAGUUGUCAAAGAAUGAGUCAAAUCAAUUCAUCUAUUAUUUGUACAUAUUCAUUUUGUAUGUAAAAUAAAAAUACUGUACAUGUAUGAAAUGAAAUAAUUAAAAAACUGGCAAAUUG
rnacentral:misc_RNA from 1 species